AUGAACGCUGGCGGCGUGCUUAACACAUGCAAGUCGAGCGAAGCACUUACCAUUGACUCUUCGGAAGAUUUGGUAAAUGACUGAGCGGCGGACGGGUGAGUAACGCGUGGGUAACCUGCCUCAUACAGGGGAAUAACAGUUAGAAAUGGCUGCUAAUGCCGCAUAAGCGCACAGUACCGCAUGAUACGGUGUGAAAAACCGAGGUGGUAUGAGAUGGACCCGCGUCUGAUUAGGUAGUUGGUGGGGUAACGGCCUACCAAGCCGACGAUCAGUAGCCGGCCUGAGAGGGUGAACGGCCACAUUGGGACUGAGACACGGCCCAGACUCCUACGGGAGGCAGCAGUGGGGAAUAUUGCACAAUGGGGGAAACCCUGAUGCAGCGACGCCGCGUGAAGGAAGAAGUAUCUCGGUAUGUAAACUUCUAUCAGCAGGGAAGA
rnacentral:rRNA from 1 species